AGUGAACGCUGGCGGUAGGCCUAACACAUGCAAGUCGAACGGCAGCACAGUAAGAGCUUGCUCUUACGGGUGGCGAGUGGCGGACGGGUGAGGAAUACAUCGGAAUCUACUUUUUCGUGGGGGAUAACGUAGGGAAACUUACGCUAAUACCGCAUACGACCUACGGGUGAAAGCAGGGGAUCUUCGGACCUUGCGCGAUUGAAUGAGCCGAUGUCGGAUUAGCUAGUUGGCGGGGUAAAGGCCCACCAAGGCGACGAUCCGUAGCUGGUCUGAGAGGAUGAUAAGCCACACUGGAACUGAGACCCGGUCCAGACCCCUACGGGGGGCAGCAGGGGGGAAUAUUGGAAAAUGGGGGCAAGCCUGAUCCAGCCAUACCGCGGGGGUGAAGAAGGCCUUCGGGUUGUAAAGCCUUUUUUUUGGGAAAAAAAAGCAGCAGGUUAAAACCCCGCUGUUCUGACGGUACCCAAAAAAUAAGCACCGGCUAACUUCGU
rnacentral:rRNA from 1 species